CUGUGUCACUUCUAUAACCAGGCUGUGUCAGAUUACAACUCCUACCUCAUAGGUAGCUUCUAGAGUCUUCCCAGCUUGCUAAAUAUGGAUUUGAAUUUUGUUAAUUUCUAAUUUUAUUUUUUCUUGUGUGUGUGUGUGUGUGUGUGUGUGUGUGUGUGCACGCGCACGCAUGUGAAUGUAGGGAUGUCUAGUCAUAUGCACAUGUGUGUAGAAGCCCAGUGAUGAUGAGUCUGGAAUCUUCAGCGUUCUCUCGCCACUCCAUUUGCUGAGAUAGGCUCUUCCACUUGAACCCAGAGCUCACUGUUUAAUGACUUUAGCUCAUCAGCCUGCCUCGGGACCCCUUUGUCUCUGUCUUUAGGCAUUGGAGUUGCAGGUGGGCUGUUGGGCUCACCUGGGAUUUACAUGGCUUCUGGGAUGUAAACUUCAGUCUUCAUGAAGCACGGCUGAUCACGUGCCUUCCAGGACUGAAUCCUGCCAACAACCAUCUUCAGCUGGGUGUGGACGUCCUCUGCUGAGCCUUCCGAAAAGACUCUGUCUCCUGAUCUGCAUGCAGCCUGUGAGACACCCCGAGAUGGGACCCGGUAGAGCCAUGCCCAGACUUCAGAGACCGUCUGAGAAGAAUGGUGCUUUCCGCUGCCAGGUUUGGGGGGGGCAUGAUUUGUUCCCCAGUGUUGGGCAAUGAACACAGCAGAUUAUGGAAAGUUCUGGUUUCCCGCCGCACAUCUGCAGCGAGGUUCCAAUCAAGGCUGCAGAGAGGAUUGACCAAGCAGGUGCCUGCAGGUGUGUCAGGUACCCUGGAAGCUGAGGAGAGCUGCCUCGUUACUAAUUUACAUCAUACUGGUGAUAAUGGCUGGUCUGGGGCUCGGUGUUUAGGAUCCUGUCUAGGCUUGCCUUUAAUGUGCACACAUUCAUUCAGCUCACUCACUCUGCGUCCAGCACCGCCCCGGCUGCGUUCAGAAUACCAACAAGGUCACACUUAGUGCCUCGGUAACGACGUCCCUUACCUUGGAGGGACCUUUAUGCUGCACAAAACCCAAUUUGGUGGCAAUCACUCAACUGGCAGAGCAGAGGCAGGCCCUUCCAUUUUCUCCUUUAUCUGGGGUGUGUCUCUGGGGAGAAUAGAACCCGUUUUUCAA
rnacentral:sRNA from 1 species